rnacentral:rRNA from 1 species
CUGCUGCCUCCCGUAGGAGUCUGGUCCGUGUCUCAGUACCAGUGUGGGGGACCUUCCUCUCAGAACCCCUACGCAUCGUCGCCUCGGUGGGCCGUUACCCCGCCGACUAGCUAAUGCGCCGCAUGCCCAUCCGUAGCCGGAAUCACUUCCUUUAAUCCCUCAGGGAUGCCCCCGAAAGAUAUUACGCGGUAUUAGACGGAAUUUCUUCCGCUUAUCCCCCUGCUACGGGCAGGUCGCAUACGUGUUACUCACCCGUGCGCCGGUCGCCG